rnacentral:lncRNA from 1 species
UGUAAAAUAAGUAUAUUUAGGUAUGUAGCACCUUCCUGGAAUAAUAGGGGAGUCAAUAGCAAAGCCUGUGUCCAUUGUGUGUCACUGAUGCAUGUGUUGUGUAGAAAAUCAGGAGGAACUAUGGAUAGGGCUCAGGGUAUGAGUGCUGGCUCCGAACCUGAUAUUAGCUGUGACUUGAGACAAGUCACUUGACUAUGCUGUCUUAAUUUUCCAGUAUGUGAAAAAGUGAAAGAAAUAAUAUGACUUAUUUAGCCCACAGGGUUGUCUACAGCAGAGGAGGAAAAGAUGAAUGUGAUUAACAUAUUCAGCUGGGAAAAUAUGCAGCAAGUUUCAAAUGAGAGCUGUGAGGUACAAAGAGAAGAAGGUUGAGAGAAAAUUUGGAAGUGAAGAGCUAAGGGGCCCAAAAGUAGCAUCUAGAGUGAGAAGAAUGGGCUAGAAGAAAAGUAGCAGUGGGUUUGAUGCGUAGAGAGAGGCUGGCAUGAGCGUGGACAAGAUACCAUCACAGCAGAAAACAUGGAGCCACUUGGUGAUGGGUUGGAGUCUUCUACAUUGACCUUGAUGCAGUGUGUAUCUUCUGUUAACCAUCCCCAUGCUGCAAUCUGUGACAGGAUGGAAUUUGUUGUGAAUCCUUGUAGGGUCAGGGCCAGGAAUCAGUGAGAAUGACUGCAUUGUGUUGAUACUUGAGUCCCCUGCCAAGCUUGGUAGAUAGGAACAGUCCACGCGGUGGCUGAGAGUGAUGAGGUAAUAAUUGAAGAGACAGAGUAAAAUGAACAGAAAACCACUGGGUGUUCAGUGCACAGAACUUCUUGGCAUGCUGGAUUUAUCCAGCAAGAAAAAGAAAUAGAGGGAAGACAUUGGCUGAUGAUCUCUCGCUUGUAGACUUAGUUGCUUAAUUGCCAAUGAGGGAGAGAUGCUGCUUGCAGGGAAAAUAAUGAUGAUGGAAAUUAGUUGAGGUUGAGGGGAAAAGAAGAUGGAACAGAAGUAGAAGACUUGAAGAGGACUCCUUGGAGAAGUUCACAUGACAUUCUGUUUGACGUAAAAUCAGCAUGUGUCCCAAGUAAAUCAACAACAGCUGUUUUAAAUAGCAGAUUGUAUUUCAAAAUAUCAUUAUGAACCAGGGGAAGAAUUGCAUGGAUGCCUGUGUCUCCAGAUUACAGUGAUGGAACCUAGCAUCUGGACAUUGUGGCCAUGGGCAGACAGAUCUCAGAGUUGGCUGGAAGAUGGUUAUCUAUUUAAUGAAACAGUGAUCUUUAGGGGGAAAUUUUUUUCAUGAUUCAUGGGUUAAAAAUGCCAGCAAAAAAGAAUGAAAGGAAAAAAGGCUCGGUUACAUUCAGAGGUGUCAUGCUUCUGUUGGCUAAAGCUUCUACUCAGAAUCCUGUGCAUUUCUCUGAAUGGGGUAGCAAAGCAGUUUAAUACUAGUCUGUUCACUUCAAAAGUACUCACACCAAUAAACUAAGUAAGAUUCAGUACCCAUCCCCACAAGAGUUCUUAGAUAACAUGAUGGACUAACUGUAUUACACUGUGUCACUAAGAAAGUGUAGAUUCUGUGACCUACAGGUUGUUCCAGGCACAGGAUGGACCUGGCUGCACUUUUCAGUCUCUCUUGUUGUCCCCCACUGGUUAAAAUUCCUUCGGCAAUGCCAGCAGCACUUCUCCCUGCUCUGAUUUUAGGCCUCAGAGGAGAAUUUAGGCAUUUCCCCUUCACCUUCUAACAAAUGCUUCUUUGAACAACCUGCUUCCAUGAUGCUACCAAGUGAGCCUUUCCUGUUGGCACAACCCCACUGAGUUGCAGGGCAACAGCUUCAUCCUGUGGUGGCACAUGCAAAUUUCAGAAUCUCCAUAGCCGGACCAGUGUGCCUGACCCAGGUGGGCACCCAUUUC